rnacentral:rRNA from 1 species
AUGAACGCUAGCUACAGGCUUAACACAUGCAAGUCGAGGGGCAUCAGUUUGGUUUGCUUGCAAACCAAAGCUGGCGACCGGCGCACGGGUGAGUAACACGUAUCCAACCUGCCUCAUACUCGGGGAUAGCCUUUCGAAAGAAAGAUUAAUAUCCGAUAGCAUAUAUUUCCCGCAUGGGUUUUAUAUUAAAGAAAUUCGGUAUGAGAUGGGGAUGCGUUCCAUUAGUUUGUUGGGGGGGUAACGGCCCACCAAGACUACGAUGGAUAGGGGUUCUGAGAGGAAGGUCCCCCACAUUGGAACUGAGACACGGUCCAAACUCCUACGGGAGGCAGCAGUGAGGAAUAUUGGUCAAUGGACGCGAGUCUGAACCAGCCAAGUAGCGUGAAGGAUGACUGCCCUAUGGGUUGUAAACUUCUUUUAUAUGGGAAUAAAGUUGUCCACGUGUGGAUUUUUGUAUGUACCAUAUGAAUAAGGAUCGGCUAACUCCGUGCCAGCAGCCGCGGUAAUACGGAGGAUCCGAGCGUUAUCCGGAUUUAUUGGGUUUAAAGGGAGCGUAGGCGGAUUGUUAAGUCAGUUGUGAAAGUUUGCGGCUCAACCGUAAAAUUGCAGUUGAUACUGGCAGUCUUGAGUGCAGUAGAGGUGGGCGGAAUUCGUGGUGUAGCGGUGAAAUGCUUAGAUAUCACGAAGAACUCCGAUUGCGAAGGCAGCUCACUGGAGUGUAACUGACGCUGAUGCUCGAAAGUGUGGGUAUCAAACAGGAUUAGAUACCCUGGUAGUCCACGCCGUAAACGAUGAAUACUAGGUGUUGGGAAGCAUUGCUUCUCGGUGCCGUCGCAAACGCAGUAAGUAUUCCACCUGGGGAGUACGCCGGCAACGGUGAAACUCAAAGGAAUUGACGGGGGCCCGCACAAGCGGAGGAACAUGUGGUUUAAUUCGAUGAUACGCGAGGAACCUUACCCGGGCUUAAAUUGCAAAUGAAUUAUGGGGAAACCCAUACGCCGCAAGGCAUUUGUGAAGGUGCUGCAUGGUUGUCGUCAGCUCGUGCCGUGAGGUGUCGGCUUAAGUGCCAUAACGAGCGCAACCCUUAUCUUCAGUUACUAACAGGUCAUGCUGAGGACUCUGGAGAGACUGCCGUCGUAAGAUGUGAGGAAGGUGGGGAUGACGUCAAAUCAGCACGGCCCUUACGUCCGGGGCUACACACGUGUUACAAUGGGGGGUACAGAAGGCCGCUACCUGGUGACAGGAUGCCAAUCCCAAAAACCUCUCUCAGUUCGGAUCGAAGUCUGCAACCCGACUUCGUGAAGCUGGAUUCGCUAGUAAUCGCGCAUCAGCCAUGGCGCGGUGAAUACGUUCCCGGGCCUUGUACACACCGCCCGUCAAGCCAUGAAAGCCGGGGGUACCUGAAGUACGUAACCGCAAGGAGCGUCCUAGGGUAAAACUGGUAAUUGGGGCU